CUUGCUCACCCUGCCUGGCCCACAGAGCGCUCCGAACCCCUGCCCUCUCCCUCCCACCCCCCACUCCCUGCGUGACUCACUCCCUGCCUGAGUUUGCUUUUCUGCUUUGUCAAUCCAGCGGAUGGCACAUUAAUUACCAGGCCUGUCCUCCGCUGCUGAGGAGCACGAGGGAGGAGCACGGCUCCUCAUCAGUUUCUGCGUCCCAGGUUGGAGGACCUCUGAGCCCCACUGAAGCGUAUGGAAAGCCAAGACCCAGGCCCCCAAGCCAUCACCAGAAAGGGGCACUUCCACCGGGACACAGUGGUGCACACCCGUUACCCCGGCCCUGUGGGGCCCAGCACCAGCAACUGAACAGCUUGUCAAGACCCUGUCUGGAAAUAAAAAGUAAAAAAGGCUGGGGAUGUAGCUCAAUGUGAA
rnacentral:lncRNA from 1 species